ACCAAAACACGCUAUAGAACCAACUCUCAGCCAAGCAGAGAGAGAGAGGUACACACCAAAACACGCUAUAGAACCAACUCUCAGCCAAGCAGAGAGAGAGAGGUACACACCAAAACACGCUAUAGAACCAACUCUCAGCCAAGCAGAGAGAGAGGUACACACCAAAACACGCUAUAGAACCAACUCUCAGCCAAGCAGAGAGAGAGGUACACACCAAAACACGCUAUAGAACCAACUCUCAGCCAAGCAGAGAGAGAGAUACACACCAAAACACGCUAUAGAACCAACUCUCAGCCAAGCAGAGAGAGAGGUACACACCAAAACACGCUAUAGAACCAACUCUCAGCCAAGCAGAGAGAGAGGUACACACCAAAACACGCUUAUAGAACCAACUCUCAGCCAAGCAGAGAGAGAGGUACACACCAAAACACGCUAUAGAACCAACUCUCAGCCAAGCAGAGAGAGAGGUACACACCAAAACACGCUAUAGAACCAACUCUCAGCCAAGCAGAGAGAGAGGUACACACCAAAACACGCUAUAGAACCAACUCUCAGCCAAGCAGAGAGAGAGGUACACACCAAAACACGCUAUAGAACCAACUCUCAGCCAAGCAGAGAGAGAGGUACACACCAAAACACGCUAUAGAACCAACUCUCAGCCAAGCAGAGAGAGAGAGGUACACACCAAAACACGCUAUAGAACCAACUCUCAGCCAAGCAGAGAGAGAGGUACACACCAAAACACGCUAUAGAACCAACUCUCAGCCAAGCAGAGAGACAGAGGUACACACCAAAACACGCUAUAGAACCAACUCUCAGCCAAGCAGAGAGAGAGAUACACACCAAAACACGCUAUAGAACCAACUCUCAGCCAAGCAGAGAGAGAGGUACACACCAAAACACGCUAUAGAACCAACUCUCAGCCAAGCAGAGAGAGAGAGGUACACACCAAAACACGCUAUAGAACCAACUCUCAG